GGACCCGACCGCUAUCGGGGUGGGGCUAAGCCAUGCAAGUCAGGGCCCCGGGCCACGGCGGGGCCCGGCGGACGGCUCAGUAGCACGUGGCUAACCUACCCUCGGGACGAGGAUAUCCCCGGGAAACUGGGGGUAAUCCUCGAUAGGUGCAGGUUCCUGGAAUGGGCCUGCGCCGAAAGGGGUGCGGCGCCAUGCCCGCCGGCACCCGCNCGAGGAUGGGGCUGCGCCCCAUCAUGGUAGUUGGCGGGGUAACGGCCCGCCAAGCCGAAGACGGGUGGGGGCCGUGAGAGCGGGAGCCCCGAGAUGGGCACUGAGACAAGGGCCCAGGCCCUACGGGGCGCAGCAGGCGCGAAACCUCCGCAAUGCGGGCAACCGCGACGGGGCCACCCCGAGUGCCGCCCGAAGAGGGCGGCUUUUCCCCGGUCUAAACAGCCGGGGGNAUAAG
rnacentral:rRNA from 1 species